AUUGAACGCUGGCGGCAGGCUUAACACAUGCAAGUCGAGCGAGCGGCGGACGGGUGAGUAAUGUCUGGGAAACUGACUGAUGGAGGGGGAUAACUACUGGAAAAGGUAGCUAAUACCGCAUACAAUCAGAUGUGCCCAUAUGGGAUUAGAUAGUAGGUGGGGUAAUGGCUCACCGAGGCGACGAUCCCUAGCUGGUCUGAGAGGAUGACAAGCCACACGUGAACUGAGACACGUUCCAGACUCCUACGGGAGGCAGUAGUGGGGAUUAUGGCACAAUGGGCGCAAGCCUGAUGCAGCCAUGCCGCGUGUGUGAAGAAGGCCUUCGGUUUGUAAAGCACUUUCAGCGAGGAUGCGUUACUCGCAGAAGAAGCACCGGCUAACUCCGUGCCAGCAGCCGCGGUAAUAC
rnacentral:rRNA from 1 species